GUGCUGAAAAAAAAUCUUUCCGUCCAGGAUAUGUAGGUGUUUGGGGGAACUGAAAGGUUCAGGCUGACCUCAGCCAAGCACAGUCCGAUCUGAUCGCAGAAUCACCGGAUGUCGUGGCUGAAAGAUUACUCUAAUCACUUAAUUCUAACACAGAAGAAAUCAGAGACCCUGAGGCGCUAAGCGACUUGUCCACAGCGAGGAAAUCUGCAAGCCUGGCCACUAAGGAUUCAAACCUGAGGUCAUCGUGGGUCAUCACCAGUCACCCCGACUUUCCUCUUGCCGUUGGCCUUUGUUGACUGGAAAAGGGAGUGAGACCAACAAUUCUGGGCAACUCUGCCUCACUCAGAUCCAAUUCAUGAGAAUUCAAAGAAAUGUGCUCCUUUGCCAAAAUCUGGCUAACAGGCCAAUUUUACAAUGACUCUUCUCCUGCCUACAUGACAACCUUAACAACCAGUACCUGUCAGUUUACUGGGAAGGGCUGAGAAUUUGAUGGACCAUCGUCGAAUGAACUAUUUACCAAUUAGAGAUGUCUUGGAGUGUUCAAGGGAUGAGCUGGCUAAUGAGCUCCCAAAGGUGUCUAUAAAUACCCAGGCCAGGAAUUUCAGGGUCUUGGAUUUAUUGAGAGUAUCUUUUGACCAAAUUAGGAUGGCUUGACUGGUCCAUUAAUAAAUUAUUUUACAAUCAAGA